CACACGCACAGAGGAAGAAACACCUAUCCUCAGGAGAAGUCAGUGGCAGCAACAUACAGAUCACCGUCACGGACAGUGGAUGAGGAUGGACUGACCUGGAAGUCCGUAUAUAAUCUAUGAUGAGCUGUGGUCCCACGCCUAUACUACACACUAACCGUAUACGGGAAUAACAGCCGGAGUACAUCCAGACCCCUCACGUCCCACAGUCAUGUCACCAUGUGUUCCCGCAAUGAUCGCCAGGGGAGAGGCUCUGGCCGGGUGGAGAUCCUUUCUGGUGGUGCGUGUUCUCUCUGCAGGACCGUGAGGGGGGCCCCGGCACUGUGAUCAGGGGCCAGGCCAAAUUCUGUUUGAAAUGUGAAUGGGCUAAUUUUCAUCAGCCUCCCUCAUGCUAGGGGAGGUCCCAGGUGCCACAGCAUGCCAAGGGUCAUCAUUAGAAGA